AACGAACGCUGGCGGCGUGCCUAACACAUGCAAGUCGAACGGGAAAACCCGCAAGGGUGAGUACAGUGGCGCACGGGUGCGUAACACGUGGGUAAUCUGCCCAGAAGCCCGGAAUAACUCCCCGAAAGGGGUGCUAAUGCCGGAUGAGACCACGGGGACUUCGGUUCCUGGGGGAAAAGGUGGCCUCUGUAUACAAGCUAUCACUUCUGGAUGAGCCCGCGGCCCAUCAGCUAGUUGGCGGGGUAAUGGCCCACCAAGGCUACAACGGGUAGCUGGUCUGAGAGGACGAUCAGCCACACUGGAACUGAGACACGGUCCAGACUCCUACGGGAGGCAGCAGUGGGGAAUCUUGCGCAAUGGGCGAAAGCCUGACGCAGCAACGCCGCGUGUGUGACGAAGGUCUUCGGAUCGUAAAGCACUGUCGGGAGGGACGAAUAAGGGCCGGGUGAACAAUCCGGUUCGACGACGGUACCUCCAGAGGAAGCACCGGCUAACUCUGUGCCAGCAGCCGCGGUAACAC
rnacentral:rRNA from 1 species